GGGGAUGGAGCUGGAGCAGCGCAUGAAGCUCUUCCUGCAGGCGGGGCUCUCGCAGGGCUUCCCUCAGCGGUGCCUCCGUUGGUGUCGGGGUGGUGAAGACAAAACAAUCCUGUUCUAGCUGGAGAGUCAAGGACAAUCUCUUCAAACUUCAGGCCCAAAGCACAAACAACGGGAAAAGAGGAGGGCGGGCAAGCAAGCAAGGAGGAUGAAACUUCAUCAUUUGAAGCUAUUCAUUGGGCAGUUAAAUCCUGGGUGCAAAUGGACUAAAACUUAUAAAAAUGUCAGAUCUCAUGACCAAGCCCUCUUUUGCUUCCAUCUUGGAGCCAUCCGGGCAGAGCCACGACCUUGGCUCCGGUACUGCCGGGCUGUGGCCUUUGAAGGCACUUCAAUAAAUAUCCACUUUAUUCCUCUUG